rnacentral:rRNA from 1 species
UACGAAGGGGGCUAGCGUUGCUCGGAAUCACUGGGCGUAAAGCGCACGUAGGCGGCUUGUUAAGUCAGGGGUGAAAUCCUGGAGCUCAACUCCAGAACUGCCUUUGAUACUGGAGAGCUUGAGUCCGGGAGAGGUGAGUGGAACUCCGAGUGUAGAGGUGAAAUUCGUAGAUAUUCGGAAGAACACCAGUGGCGAAGGCGGCUCACUGGCCCGGUACUGACGCUGAUGUGCGAAAGCGUGGGGAGCAAACAGG